rnacentral:lncRNA from 1 species
GAAGGAGCCAAGAGAGUCAAGGCAGCUUUCUACAAAUUGAGCUGUCGCAUUCAUUCUCUCAUACACUAGAGUUGCCACUUAAAAAUAUUAAAAAAAAAAAAACAAAACAAUGUUGACCAUCUAACAGGACUAGUUGACUCAGCCACCAACUUACCAAAUUGCUUCAUUUCUGGAAGAAUUCCAGCAUCUGGGAAUUUGAGUUUUUCUAGAAGUCGGCUUGGUAAAAGUGGGUCAGUCCCCUGGGACUUUGUCUCCUCUUACAAUAGGAAAGCCUUGAUCUGACACAGCACAGUUGGUCUCCUUACAGGUCCGCUGAAGUCCAUGAGAUACAGCAGAGUUUGCCAACACUAUUGAUUCCAUAGGUAAUCUGGAAUGGAGGCAUGGAGGUGGAAGUUCUGGACUCUUCUUCUCAAUGUCUAGCUAACCUGGUCAGAGGCUUGCCAGAAGGGGCCCCGAUAAAAGGAAGCUACACCCAAGAUAUGAGACAAGAAUAUGGGACAGUUAGCUUUGAUCUCUGAAUGUGUUGUGUAUUGGUUUCAGUGCCCAUCUCAUAGAAAUAAAAUACUGCU